CCUACGGGUGGCAGCAGUGGGGAAUAUUGCACAAUGGGCGAAACCCUGAUGCAGCGACGCCGCGUGAGUGAUGAAGUACUUCGUUAUGUAAAGCUCUAUUAGCAGGGGAGAAAAUGACGGUACGUGAGUAAUUAGCCACGGGCAAAUACGUGCCAGCAGCCGCGGUAAUACGGAGGGCGCAAGCGUUAUCCGGAUUUACUGGGGGUAAAGGGAGCGUAGACGGGAGUGCAAGUCUGGAGUGAAAGGCGGGGGCUCAACCCCCGGAGUGCUCUGGAAACUGUACGGCUGGAGUGCAGGAGAGGUAAGUGGAAUUCGUAGUGUAGCGGUGAAAUGCGUAGAUAUUAGGAAGAACACCAGUGGCGAAGGCAGCUUACUGGACUGUAACUGACGUUGAGGCUCGAAAGCGUGGGGAGCAAACAGGAUUAGAUACCCCAGUAGUC
rnacentral:rRNA from 1 species